rnacentral:rRNA from 1 species
CUACGGGAGGCACCAGUGAGGAAUAUUGGACAAUGGAGGCAACUCUGAUCCAGCCAUGCCGCGUGCAGGAAGACGGCCCUAUGGGUUGUAAACUGCUUUUAUACGGGAAGAAACCCAACUACGUGUAGUUGGCUGACGGUACCGUAAGAAUAAGCACCGGCUAACUCCGUGCCAGCAGCCGCGGGUAAUACGGAGGGUGCAAGCGUUAUCCGGAAUCAUUGGGUUUAAAGGGUCCGUAGGCGGACUGAUAAGUCAGGGGUGAAAUCCAACAGCUUAACUGUUGAACUGCCUUUGAUACUGUUAGUCUUGAAUUAUAUGGAAGUAGAUAGAAUGUGUAGUGUAGCGGUGAAAUGCUUAGAGAUUACACAGAAUACCGAUUGCGAAGGCAGUCUACUACGUAUAUAUUGACGCUAAUGGACGAAAGCGUGGGGAGCGAACAGGAUUAGAUACCCGGGUAGUC